rnacentral:rRNA from 1 species
GGGUUGUGAGGUUAAGCGACUAAGCGUACACGGUGGAUGCCCUGGCAGUCAGAGGCGAUGAAGGGCGUGCUAAUCUGCGAUAAGCGCCGGUAAGGUGAUAUGAACCGUUAUAACCGGCGAUACCCGAAUGGGGAAACCCAGUGUGACUCGUCACACUAUCAUUAACUGAAUCCAUAGGUUAAUGAGGCGAACCGGGGGAACUGAAACAUCUAAGUACCCCGAGGAAAAGAAAUCAACCGAGAUUCCCCCAGUAGCGGCGAGCGAACGGGGAGGAGCCCAGAGCCUGAAUCAGCAUGUGUGUUAGUGGAAGCGUCUGGAAAGGCGCGCGAUACAGGGUGAUAGCCCCGUACACAAAAGCGCAUGUGUUGUGAGCUCGAUGAGUAGGGCGGGACACGUGGUAUCCUGUCUGAAUAUGGGGGGACCAUCCUCCAAGGCUAAAUACUCCUGACUGACCGAUAGUGAACCAGUACCGUGAGGGAAAGGCGAAAAGAACCCCGGCGAGGGGAGUGAAAAAGAACCUGAAACCGUGUACGUACAAGCAGUGGGAGCACAGGUUUACCUGUGUGACUGCGUACCUUUUGUAUAAUGGGUCAGCGACUUAUAUUCUGUAGCAAGGUUAACCGAAUAGGGGAGCCGGAGGGAAACCGAGUCUUAAUUGGGCGUUAAGUUGCAGGGUAUAGACCCGAAACCCGGUGAUCUAGCCAUGGGCAGGUUGAAGGUUGGGUAACACUAACUGGAGGACCGAACCGACUAAUGUUGAAAAAUUAGCGGAUGACCUGUGGCUGGGGGUGAAAGGCCAAUCAAACCGGGAGAUAGCUGGUUCUCCCCGAAAGCUAUUUAGGUAGCGCCUCGUGAAUUCAUCUUCGGGGGUAGAGCACUGUUUCGGCUAGGGGGCCAUCCCGGCUUACCAACCCGAUGCAAACUGCGAAUACCGGAGAAUGUUAUCACGGGAGACACACGGCGGGUGCUAACGUCCGUCGUGAAGAGGGAAACAACCCAGACCGCCAGCUAAGGUCCCAAAGUCAUGGUUAAGUGGGAAACGAUGUGGGAAGGCCCAGACAGCCAGGAUGUUGGCUUAGAAGCAGCCAUCAUUUAAAGAAAGCGUAAUAGCUCACUGGUCGAGUCGGCCUGCGCGGAAGAUGUAACGGGGCUAAACCAUGCACCGAAGCUGCGGCAGCGAACGUAUCACCCAAGACAACUUUGCGGAGUUGACGAUUGACGGAGCGAAGCGACGUCAAAGCGUUCAUUAAAGUCGAGUUGGCUUAGGGAUACGUUCGUUGGGUAGGGGAGCGUUCUGUAAGCCUGUGAAGGUGGCCUGUGAGGGUUGCUGGAGGUAUCAGAAGUGCGAAUGCUGACAUAAGUAACGAUAAAGCGGGUGAAAAGCCCGCUCGCCGGAAGACCAAGGGUUCCUGUCCAACGUUAAUCGGGGCAGGGUGAGUCGACCCCUAAGGCGAGGCCGAAAGGCGUAGUCGAUGGGAAACGGGUUAAUAUUCCCGUACUUGGUGUUACUGCGAAGGGGGGACGGAGAAGGCUAUGUUGGCCGGGCGACGGUUGUCCCGGUUUAAGCGUGUAGGUGUGUGUUCCAGGUAAAUCCGGUUCACUUUAACACUGAGGCGUGACGACGAGGCACUACGGUGCUGAAGCAACAAAUGCCCUGCUUCCAGGAAAAGCCUCUAAGCAUCAGGUAACAUCAAAUCGUACCCCAAACCGACACAGGUGGUCAGGUAGAGAAUACCAAGGCGCUUGAGAGAACUCGGGUGAAGGAACUAGGCAAAAUGGUGCCGUAACUUCGGGAGAAGGCACGCUGACACGUAGGUGAAGUGAUUUACUCAUGGAGCUGAAGUCAGUCGAAGAUACCAGCUGGCUGCAACUGUUUAUUAAAAACACAGCACUGUGCAAACACGAAAGUGGACGUAUACGGUGUGACGCCUGCCCGGUGCCGGAAGGUUAAUUGAUGGGGUCAGCGCAAGCGAAGCUCCUGAUCGAAGCCCCGGUAAACGGCGGCCGUAACUAUAACGGUCCUAAGGUAGCGAAAUUCCUUGUCGGGUAAGUUCCGACCUGCACGAAUGGCGUAAUGAUGGCCAGGCUGUCUCCACCCGAGACUCAGUGAAAUUGAACUCGCUGUGAAGAUGCAGUGUACCCGCGGCAAGACGGAAAGACCCCGUGAACCUUUACUAUAGCUUGACACUGAACAUUGAGCCUUGAUGUGUAGGAUAGGUGGGAGGCUUUGAAGUGUGGACGCCAGUCUGCAUGGAGCCGACCUUGAAAUACCACCCUUUAAUGUUUGAUGUUCUAACGUGGACCCGUGAUCCGGGUUGCGGACAGUGUCUGGUGGGUAGUUUGACUGGGGCGGUCUCCUCCUAAAGAGUAACGGAGGAGCACGAAGGUUGGCUAAUCCUGGUCGGACAUCAGGAGGUUAGUGCAAUGGCAUAAGCCAGCUUGACUGCGAGCGUGACGGCGCGAGCAGGUGCGAAAGCAGGUCAUAGUGAUCCGGUGGUUCUGAAUGGAAGGGCCAUCGCUCAACGGAUAAAAGGUACUCCGGGGAUAACAGGCUGAUACCGCCCAAGAGUUCAUAUCGACGGCGGUGUUUGGCACCUCGAUGUCGGCUCAUCACAUCCUGGGGCUGAAGUAGGUCCCAAGGGUAUGGCUGUUCGCCAUUUAAAGUGGUACGCGAGCUGGGUUUAGAACGUCGUGAGACAGUUCGGUCCCUAUCUGCCGUGGGCGCUGGAGAACUGAGGGGGGCUGCUCCUAGUACGAGAGGACCGGAGUGGACGCAUCACUGGUGUUCGGGUUGUCAUGCCAAUGGCACUGCCCGGUAGCUAAAUGCGGAAGAGAUAAGUGCUGAAAGCAUCUAAGCACGAAACUUGCCCCGAGAUGAGUUCUCCCUGAGACUUUAGGUCUCCUGAAGGAACGUUGAAGACGACGACGUUGAUAGGCCGGGUGUGUAAGCGCAGCGAUGCGUUGAGCUAACCGGUACUAAUGAACCGUGAGGCUUAACCUUACAACGCCGAAG